rnacentral:ncRNA from 1 species
UCUGAAACAGGGCAAACCCAUCGAAAGGUGGGGACGCAAAGUUACCGGUCUAAGGGGUGCGGUCAAACCCUACGACAGCGGGAUUGCCAGA